AUUGAACGCUGGCGGCAGGCUUAACACAUGCAAGUCGAGCGGAGAGAGGUAGCUUGCUACUGAUCUUAGCGGCGGACGGGUGAGUAAUGCUUAGGAAUCUGCCUAUUAGUGGGGGACAACAUUUCGAAAGGAAUGCUGAUACCGCAUACGUCCUACGGGAGAAAGCAGGGGAUCUUCGGACCUUGCGCUAAUAGAUGAGCCUAAGUCGGAUUAGCUAGUUGGUGGGGUAAAGGCCUACCAAGGCGACGAUCUGUAGCGGGUCUGAGAGGAUGAUCCGCCACACUGGGACUGAGACACGGCCCUGACUCCUACGGGAGGCAGCAGUGGGGAAUAUUGGACAAUGGGCGCAAGCCUGAUCCAGCCAUGCCGCGUGUGUGAAGAAGGCCUUAUGGUUGUAAAGCACUUUAAGCGAGGAGGAGGCUACUUUAGUUAAUACCUAGAGAUAGUGGACGUUACUCGCAGAAUAAGCACCGGCUAACUCUGUGCCAGCAGCCGCGGUAAUACAGAGGGUGCAAGCGUUAAUCGGAUUUACUGGGCGUAAAGCGCGCGUAGGCGGCUAAUUAAGUCAAAUGUGAAAUCCCCGAGCUUAACUUGGGAAUUGCAUUCGAUACUGGUUAGCUAGAGUGUGGGAGAGGAUGGUAGAAUUCCAGGUGUAGCGGUGAAAUGCGUAGAGAUCUGGAGGAAUACCGAUGGCGAAGGCAGCCAUCUGGCCUAACACUGACGCUGAGGUGCGAAAGCAUGGGGAGCAAACAGGAUUAGAUACCCUGGUAGUCCAUGCCGUAAACGAUGUCUACUAGCCGUUGGGGCCUUUGAGGCUUUAGUGGCGCAGCUAACGCGAUAAGUAGACCGCCUGGGGAGUACGGUCGCAAGACUAAAACUCAAAUGAAUUGACGGGGGCCCGCACAAGCGGUGGAGCAUGUGGUUUAAUUCGAUGCAACGCGAAGAACCUUACCUGGCCUUGACAUAGUAAGAACUUUCCAGAGAUGGAUUGGUGCCUUCGGGAACUUACAUACAGGUGCUGCAUGGCUGUCGUCAGCUCGUGUCGUGAGAUGUUGGGUUAAGUCCCGCAACGAGCGCAACCCUUUUCCUUAUUUGCCAGCGAGUAAUGUCGGGAACUUUAAGGAUACUGCCAGUGACAAACUGGAGGAAGGCGGGGACGACGUCAAGUCAUCAUGGCCCUUACGGCCAGGGCUACACACGUGCUACAAUGGUCGGUACAAAGGGUUGCUACCUAGCGAUAGGAUGCUAAUCUCAAAAAGCCGAUCGUAGUCCGGAUUGGAGUCUGCAACUCGACUCCAUGAAGUCGGAAUCGCUAGUAAUCGCGGAUCAGAAUGCCGCGGUGAAUACGUUCCCGGGCCUUGUACACACCGCCCGUCACACCAUGGGAGUUUGUUGCACCAGAAGUAGCUAGCCUAACUGCAAAGAGGGCGGUUACCACGGUGUGGCCGAUGACUGGGGUG
rnacentral:rRNA from 1 species